AAAGCAAUUAAGAGAACGGAAAUAUACCUGGAGAGCAAUCAGGUAAACGCCAAGUCAGAAUUAAAGUAAAUAGUUACUAAUAUUAAUUUAUUCACUUAUUAACCGGUCUACACACGUACUCAAGCAAACAAAUAAAAUCUAAGGGAUAUAUUGCAGGCGAGGGAGUGAAACCAGAGCACCCUCGCAGGUUUCAACAAGAUGUGUUCAAAAUAGUUGUUCCCAAUUGUUGACAAAUCUGGGACAAGUUUUUUUCAUCCUGUAACAAGGUUGAUGGGACCAACAGACUCGCCAGUAGCCACAGUUUAUACUCGUUUGUUCCAACAAUUGUCAUAUAGUUCAUAUAUAUAUAAAGUUAUCACCUCGCUUCCUGAGAAUUCUUGUCUUCUUAAGGGGCAACAGUUCAUAUAAACUAUGGGCAGCGUCUUCCGAAAUUACUUUCCACAAUUUCAUGUCUCUCUCUCUCUCAUUAUAUCGGCCAACACGUAAUUCUUAGAUGUAUAACCAUCUGAACAUAACAAUUAGUUAGAGCACUGCACCAAAAUUGUACAGGUUCAAUUCCUGCAUAUGGUCGCAUUCUCGCAGCUGUUCUUGGAAUGGCCUAAAACAUUUUAAAUCUUAAAUUCCCCUUUUUUCCCGUUUUGUGGGAAAUAUAUGUAUAUAAAAGACAACUUUUAAGAUGAUCGUGUUGCUAUGGCAACACUUCACCACACACAACGCGAGCCUGCGUUCAGAGUUGGCCAAUUGCUGACACUGCGUGUUAAAAUAAAUAUUUGGAAAAUAUAGGCUAGAUUGCUGCAUGCAUGUAUUUCUAGUGUUUAUUUCGGAAAAUUUGGAAUGAUGACAAUUUGUGAUUAUCUCCAGUAAUAUAUGCCAGGAGGAUUUAUUUAAUACAAUACGGAGAUAUUGUCAACAUACGUUUCAUUGUAUACCAGUGAUGUCACAAUUGGAGAAAAUGAUAUGACUGUUUUUCUUACAGGGGGACCGUAAACGAAUCCUGCGUGAAAUAGUGGAUCGUUACCUGGAAAAUAAAGCAAAGGAGACAUUGCAAGAAGCUGAAGGAGCACUUCAUGAACAGUAUUUAAAAAUUAAGGAAAAGCUGGCGAGUGUCCAAAACUUGUCAUUUAAUUUUGUCUCUUUAUACCAUCAAAAACAUGCCUGUCGAUAAUCUAUCCAAAUUUUACAUGUAAGGGAGCAGUCAUUAUUGAUGCUGGGGGCCCCAGUGGGCUGGAAGAAAUUUAUAAACUUGU